rnacentral:rRNA from 1 species
AACGAACGCUGGCGGCAGGCCUAACACAUGCAAGUCGAACGCUCGUAGCAAUACGAGAGUGGCAGACGGGUGAGUAACACGUGGGAACCUUCCCUAUGGUUCGGAAUAGCUCAGGGAAACUUGAGGUAAUACCGGAUAAGCCCUUACGGGGAAAGAUUUAUCGCCAUUGGAGGGGCCCGCGUCGGAUUAGCUAGUUGGUGCGGUAACGGCCCACCAAGGCGACGAUCCGCAGCUGGUAUGAGAGGAUGAUCAGCCACACUGGGACUGAGACACGGCACAGACUCCUACGGGAGGCAGCAGUGGGGAAUAUUGGACAAUGGGCGCAAGCCUGAUCCAGCCAUGCCGCGUGAGUGACGAAGGCCUUAGGGUUGUAAAGCUCUUUUGGCGGGGAAGAUAAUGACGGUACCCGCAGAAUAAGCUCCGGCUAACUUCGUGCCAGCCGCCGCCGUAACAC